rnacentral:piRNA from 1 species
UGCCCAAAAGGCAAGGUCUCCUGAGA